rnacentral:rRNA from 1 species
AUUGAACGCUGGCGGCAGGCUUAACACAUGCAAGUCGAGCGGGGGAAGGUAGCUUGCUACCGGACCUAGCGGCGGACGGGUGAGUAAUGCUUAGGAAUCUGCCUAUUAGUGGGGGACAACAUCUCGAAAGGGAUGCUAAUACCGCAUACGUCCUACGGGAGAAAGCAGGGGAUCUUCGGACCUUGCGCUAAUAGAUGAGCCUAAGUCGGAUUAGCUAGUUGGGGGGGUAAAGGCCUACCAAGGCGACGACCUGUAGCGGGUCUGAGAGGAUGAUCCGCCACACUGGGACUGAGACACGGCCCAGACUCCUACGGGAGGCAGCAGUGGGGAAUAUUGGACAAUGGGGGGAACCCUGAUCCAGCCAUGCCGCGUGUGUGAAGAAGGCCUUAUGGUUGUAAAGCACUUUAAGCGAGGAGGAGGCUACUCUAGUUAAUACCUAGGGAUAGUGGACGUUACUCGCAGAAUAAGCACCGGCUAACUCUGUGCCAGCAGCCGCGGUAA